UACGGGAGGCAGCAGUGGGGAAUAUUGCACAAUGGGCGCAAGCCUGAUGCAGCCAUGCCGCGUGUAUGAAGAAGGCCUUCGGGUUGUAAAGUACUUUCAGUCGUGAGGAAGGUGUUAAGGUUAAUAACCUUAGCAAUUGACGUUAGCGACAGAAGAAGCACCGGCUAACUCCGUGCCAGCAGCCGCGGUAAUACGGAGGGUGCGAGCGUUAAUCGGAAUUACUGGGCGUAAAGGGCACGCAGGCGGUUAAUUAAGUUGGAUGUGAAAUCCCCGGGCUUAACCUGGGAAUGGCAUUCAAGACUGGUUAGCUAGAGUCUUGUAGAGGGGGUAGAAUUCCAUGUGUAGCGGUGAAAUGCGUAGAGAUGUGGAGGAAUACCGGUGGCGAAGGCGGCCCCUGGACAAGACUGACGCUCAUGCGCGAAAGCGUGGGGAGCAAACGAGGAUUAGAUACC
rnacentral:rRNA from 1 species